rnacentral:misc_RNA from 1 species
UUACAUUUUCAUUAUAAAAAAAAUAAAAGAAACUCGAGGUCUUGACUAUACAAAUUUUGAGGUAGUAUGGUUGAUAAUCUCAGUGUCUUGACUGAAUAUAAAAAAUAUGCAUUGUCAUUCAGUGGGAUUAUUAUUAGUUAGCUGCAAAACACUUUAAUCUUCUAUGCUUCAGAAAGAUCGAUGUUUUCACUGACGGAAGACAUAGUUUCAGGGGACGGGUCUUGAGUCUCUUCGCUAUCUGGUUGUGAUUCAUGCUUUGCAGCAGCUUG